UACGUAGGGACCGAGCGUUGUCCGGAAUCAUUGGGCGUAAAGAGCGUGUAGGCGGCUCGGUAAGUCCGCUGUGAAAGUCGGGGGCUCAACCCUCGAAUGCCGGUGGAUACUGUCGGGCUAGAGUGCGGAAGAGGCGAGUGGAAUUCCUGGUGUAGCGGUGAAAUGCGCAGAUAUCAGGAGGAACACCGAUUGCGAAGGCAGCUCGCUGGGACGUAACUGACGCUGAGACGCGAAAGCGUGGGGAGCAAACAGG
rnacentral:rRNA from 1 species